AUGCCGGCCACGCACCCGACAGCGGACUCGGCACUCCAGGUACCCCAGCUUCUGGGGCUGGCCCAGUGGCAGCAAGGGGCAUGCCGCCUGGGCCACUUCCCCACUACAGACUCCCGGGGUCCCAGCCGGAGGUCGGCAGUGCUGACCCAGCCCCGGUCCCGCCCCACAGCCUCCACCCAGGCCCCGGCCGUCUUCCCCUUGGUCUCCUGCUGCGAAGGCACCAGCACCGCCGCCCUCUCCGUGACACUGGGAUGCCUGGUCAGGGACUACUUCCCAGGCCCAGUGACCGUGACCUGGGAUGUGGGGACCCUGACCAAGAACACUGUGACCUUCCCUGCCACCCUCCACUCGACCUCCAACCUCUACACCACCAUCAGCCAGGUGACCGCUUCGGGCGAGUGGGCCACACAGAAGUUCACCUGCCAGGUGGAGCACCCCGGGUCCGCCGCCGUCAGCAGGAGCUUUCGUGUGUGCGCCACGAACUACACCCAGCCCACCGUGAAGCUUUUACACUCGUCCUGCGACCCCAGUGGCGACACCCAUGCCACCGUCCAGCUCCUCUGCCUCAUCUCUGACUUCACCCCAGGUGACAUUGAGGUCACCUGGCUGGUGGACGGGCAGAAGGCCGAGAACGUGUUCCCAUACAUCAGCCCCCACAAGCAGGAGGGCAAGCUAGCCUCCGCCCACAGCCAGCUUAACAUCACCCAAGGCCAGUGGGUGUCCCAAAGCACCUACACCUGCCGGGUCAACUACCUAGGCUUCAUCAUCGAGGACCAUGCCCGCAGCUGCCCAGAGUCCGAGCCCCGCGGCGUGAGCGUCUACCUGAUCCCGCCCAGCCCCCUCGACUUGUACAUCCACAAGUCACCCAAGAUCACCUGCCUGGUGGUGGACCUGGCCAGCGUGGAUGGCAUGAGCCUGAAAUGGUCCCGGGAGGGCGAGGACCUUGUGGACAAGGCCACGGAGGUCCCGAAGCACCACUUCAACAUGACCUACACCGUCACGUCCACCCUGCCGGUGGACGCCGACGACUGGAUCGAGGGUGUGACCUACCGGUGCGAGGUGUCCCACCCGCACCUGCCCAGGGCCAUCGCACGCACCAUCGCCAAAACCCCCGGUAAGCGUGCCGCCCCCGAGGUCUACGUGUUCCUACCGCCCGAGGAGAGCCAGGGGACCAAGGACACGGUCACCCUCACCUGCCUGGUCCAGAACUUCUUCCCCGUGGACAUCUCGGUGCAGUGGCUGCGGAAUGACGCCCCGGUCCAGACGGACCAGCAGGCCACCACGCAGCCCCUCAAGGCCAACAGCUCCAGCCCCGCCUUCUUCGUCUUCAGCCGCCUGGAGGUCCGCAGGGCGGACUGGGAGAAGAGGGACAAGUUCACCUGCCAAGUGGUCCACGAGGCGCUGCCCGGCUCCAGGACUCUCAAGAAAUCCGUGUCCAAAGAGCCUGGUAACUGACACCCCCCGGGCUCCAUCCUGCGGGGGGAGGGCCCGCCAGAGCCUCUGUCCAGCGUUGUCAAUA